rnacentral:lncRNA from 1 species
UCACAUAAUUGCAUCAUAGUAAAUAGUUUGCUAACACUUUAUUGAAAUCUGUCGAAUUACUCCAUAAGAAAUAGAGUAUGGUAAAAAUAGUUUGGUAACACACAAAAAUGAAACCGCAAAACACGAAUUGUCUUCAUGCGAUAUUAUUCCCUAAAAAUUGCUAACGCGGAAAAGGACUGAAACUAGAUGGCACGACUCAAAAGGGACUCCUGGACGCGUGUAUGUCUUCAGUCUUGGUCCAUCUUGGAGUCUUCGUCCAUCUUGGCUGUUGCUUCAAGGUAGCGCUUCCUCAACUUGUUAAGUGGCGAGCUGACCAGCAUAGCAGGUAGUUCCCUUCCGAAUUUGUCAAUGUGAACCUAUGCAAGAGGAAAAGUUAGUUCCGGUCAAACUGCUAGUGCAUAUGAAUAUGUUGUGUGCUUUUACCUGCUUGAACUCGUCAGUGUGCUCGUCUCCUGUCCAGGAUUCCAUAUUUUUAAGAACAAAUAGCCCAC